rnacentral:rRNA from 1 species
AACGAACGCUGGCGGCAUGCCUAACACAUGCAAGUCGAACGAGACCUUCGGGUCUAGUGGCGCACGGGUGCGUAACGCGUGGGAACCUGCCCUUAGGUUCGGAAUAACUCCCCGAAAGGGGUGCUAAUACCGGAUAAUGUCUUCGGACCAAAGAUUUAUCGCCUUUGGAUGGGCCCGCGUUGGAUUAGCUAGUUGGUAGGGUAAAAGCCUACCAAGGCGACGAUCCAUAGCUGGUCUGAGAGGAUGAUCAGUCACACUGGGACUGAGACACGGCCCAGACUCCUACGGGAGGCAGCAGUGGGGAAUAUUGGACAAUGGGCGAAAGCCUGAUCCAGCAAUGCCGCGUGAGUGAUGAAGGCCUUAGGGUUGUAAAGCUCUUUUACCCGGGAUGAUAAUGACAUUACCGGGAGAAUAAGCUCCGGCUAACUCCGUG